rnacentral:rRNA from 1 species
CGUAGGGUGCGAGCGUUAAUCGGAAUUACUGGGCGUAAAGCGUGCGCAGGCGGUUUUGUAAGCCAGAUGUGAAAUCCCCGGGCUCAACCUGGGAAUGGCAUUUGGGACUGCAAGGCUUGAGUGCGGCAAAGGAGACUGGAAUUCCCGGUGUAGCAGUGAAAUGCGUAGAUAUCGGGAGGAAUACCGAUGGCGAAGGCAGGUCUCUGGGCUGACACUGACGCUCAUGCACGAAAGCGUGGGGAGCAAACAGGAUUAGAUACCCUGGUAGUCCACGCCCUAAACGAUGUCGACUGGUUGUUGGGGGUUUGAUACUCUCAGUAACGAAGCUAACGCGUGAAGUCGACCGCCUGGGGAGUACGGCCGCAAGGUUA